rnacentral:rRNA from 1 species
GACGAACGCUGGCGGCGUGCUUAACACAUGCAAGUCGAACGGAAAGGCCCUGCUUUUGUGGGGUGCUCGAGUGGCGAACGGGUGAGUAACACGUGAGUAACCUGCCCUUGACUUUGGGAUAACUUCAGGAAACUGGGGCUAAUACCGGGUAGGAGCUCCUGCUGCAUGGUGGGGGUUGGAAAAUUUCGGCGGUGGGGGAUGGUCUCGCGGCUUAUCAGCUUGUUGGUGGGGUAGUGGCUUACCAAGGCUGUGACGGGUAGCCGGCCUGAGAGGUGAACCGGCCACCUGGGGCCUGAGAUACGGACCAGAAUCCAACGGGAGGCAGUAGGCGGGAGUAUUGCACAAUGGGCGGAAGUCUGAUGCGGCAACGCUGCGUGCGUGAUGCUGUCCUUCGGGUUGUAAACCGCUUUCUACUGUGAUGAAGAGUGAGUGACGGUAAUGGGUAAAGAAGCAACGGCUAACUACGUG